CCUACGGGAGGCAGCAGUGGGGAAUAUUGCACAAUGGGGGAAACCCUGAUGCAGCGACGCCGCGUGAGUGAAGAAGUAUUUCGGUAUGUAAAGCUCUAUCAGCCGGGAAGACGACAGACGGUACCUGACUAAGAAGCCCCGGCUAACUACGUGCCAGCAGCCGGGGUAAUACGUAGGGGGCAAGCGUUAUCCGGAUUUACUGGGUGUAAAGGGAUCGGAGACGGCUGUGCAAGUCUGCAGUGAAAGCCCAGGGCUCAACCCUGGGACUGCUUUGGAAACUGUGGAGCUAGAGUGCUGGAGAGGUAAGGGGAAGUCCUAGUGUAGCGGUGAAAUGCGUAGAUAUUAGGCAGAACACCAGGGGCGAAGGCGGCUUACUGGACAGUAACUGACGUUGAGGCUCGAAAGCGUGGGGAGCAAACAGGAUUAGAUACCCUUGUAGUC
rnacentral:rRNA from 1 species